rnacentral:rRNA from 1 species
CCUACGGGGGGCAGCAGUGGGGGAUAUUGCACAAUGGGGGGAACCCUGAUGCAGCGACGCCGCGUGGGUGAAGGAGCGUUUCGGCGCGUAAAGCUCUAUCGGCAGGGAAGAAGAUGACGGUACCUGGCCAAGAAGCCCCGGCUAACUACGUGCAAGCAGCCGCGGUAAGACGUAGGGGGCAAGCGUUAUCCGGAUGUACUGGGUGUAAAGGGGGCGCAGACGGGAAUGCAAGCCAGGAGUGAAAGCCCGGGGCCCAACCCCGGGACUGCUCUUGGAACUGCAUGGCUGGAGUACAGGAGGGGCAGGCGGAAUUCCUAGUGUAGCGGUGAAAUGCGUAGAUAUUAGGAGGAACACCGGUGGCGAAGGCAGCCUGCUGGACUGUGACUGACGUUGAGGCCCGAAGGCGUGGGGAGCAAACAGGAUUAGAUACCCUUGUAGUC